GUCCACGCCGUAAACGAUGUCUACUAGCUGUUCGUGACCUUGUGUCGUGAGUAGCGCAGCUAACGCAUUAAGUAGACCGCCUGGGGAGUACGGUCGCAAGAUUAAAACUCAAAUGAAUUGACGGGGGCCCGCACAAGCGGUGGAGCAUGUGGUUUAAUUCGACGCAACGCGAAGAACCUUACCUACUCUUGACAUCUACAGAAGACUGCAGAGAUGCGGUUGUGCCUUCGGGAACUGUAAGACAGGUGCUGCAUGGCUGUCGU
rnacentral:rRNA from 1 species